GAUGAACGCUAGCGGCAGGCUUAAUACAUGCAAGUCAAGGGGUAGCAAUACAACCGGCGCACGGGUGAGUAACGCGUACACAACAUACCAUAUACUGGAGUAUAGCUUUGGGAAACUGAAGGUAAUCCUCCAUAACAUUGCGAGAGGGCAUCUGAUUGCAAUUAAAGUUUCGGCGGUAUAUGAUUGGUGUGCGUUUGAUUAGCUAGUUGGUAGGGUAACGGCCUACCAAGGCGACGAUCAAUAGCUGGCGUGAGAGCGCGACCAGCCACACUGGAACUGAGACACGGUCCAGACUCCUACGGGAGGCAGCAGUAGGGAAUAUUGGACAAUGGAGGAAACUCUGAUCCAGCCAUGCCGCGUGAUAGAUGAAGGCCCUCUGGGUUGUAAAUAUCUUUUAUCUGGGAAGAAACACUCCUAUUCUUAGGAACUUGACGGUACCAGAGAUAAGCACCGGCUAACUCCGUGCCAGCAGCCGCGGUAAU
rnacentral:rRNA from 1 species